GCCGAUUUAGCUUAGUGGUAGAGCGUUGCACUUGUAUGUUAAUGACAUCGGCGUAUAACUAGACUCGAUGCAAAGGUCGGUUGUUCAAUCCAGCCAAUCGGCA